AUUUUGCAGAAGUCUUGCAGGAAAUCAUCUUAUCGCCUUAGAGAAGAGUAUAUUUGAUAAACUGCCGCAUUUAGUCACCUUGUAUCUGAAUAAAAACAAUAUUUUCAACAUAAACAAGGAGACAGCAGCUAUACUCACCAAGUUGAUGGCAGUAGACCUCAGCAACAACCCUUAUAAUUGCUCCUGUACUCCAGAAACAAAGUUUAUGAUCAAUUGGAUUCAGAAAGUGAAAGGGCUAAAACCAAAGGGUAUAAACUGGGUAGCUUUUGUCAAUGACCAUGUUACAACAUGCGCGUCUCCAAACUUUUUGAAGGGAAAAAGACUAGAUUCAUUAACCGUGAACGACGUGUGUCCAGAUACCACAUAGAUGAUGAACUAUCUGCCACCGCGUUAAAUUUCGUACGAACGCCUGGAAAUUUAAAUGUAGUGGUGGCAUAAACGUUUUCUGAUAUAAUAUCCAAGAACAAAACUGAUGCAAAUCACUACGAUAAAUUUGAAAAAAACUUUGGUAAAAGUUUUCAUUACGUCGUGUUUUACUAUAAACUCAAUUAUACAAUUAUCUUCUUGUUAUCGAGCAUCCCGGUGAUUGUUUUUACUUGCAUUGUUUAUUGUAAUGAAAUAAAAACAUUAGACC